ACCUCUGCAAUAGGCGAAAGCCUGACAGGGUUACUCUGAGUGAUUUCCGCUAAGGGGAUCUUUUGGCACCUCUAAAAAUGGUGCAGAAUAAGGGGUGGGCAAGUCUGGUGUCAGCCGCCGCGGUAAUACCAGCACCCCGAGUGGUCGGGACGAUUAUUGGGCCUAAAGCAUCCGUAGCCGGUUCUGCAAGUCCUCCGUUAAAUCCAGCCGCUCAACGGAUGGGCCGCGGAGGAUACUAUAGGACUAGGAGGCGGGAGAGGCAAGCGGUACUCAGUGGGUAGGGGUAAAAUCCUUUGAUCCAUUGAAGACCACCAGUGGCGAAGGCGGCUUGCCAGAACGCGCUCGACGGUGAGGGAUGAAAGCUGGGGGAGCAAACCGGAUUAGAUACCCGGGUAGUCCCAGCUGUAAACGAUGCAGACUCGGUGAUGGGCUAGCCUUGUGCCAGCCCAGUGCCGCAGGGAAGCCGUUAAGUCUGCCGCCUGGGGAGUACGGUCGCAAGACUGAAACUUAA
rnacentral:rRNA from 1 species